UACAGGGGGGGCAAGCGUUGUCCGGAUUUACUGGGUUUAAAGGGAGCGUAGGCGGACUUUUAAGUCAGUGGUGAAAAGCUUCCCGCUUAACGGGAAAACUGCCAUUGAAAACUGCUAGUCUCGAGUAUGGUUGAGGUUACUGGAAUGUUGGCAUGUAGCGGUGAAAUGCUUAGAUAUGCAACAGAACACCAAUUGCGAAGGCAGGUAACUAAGCCAUAACUGACGCUGAGGCUCGAAAGCGUGGGGAGCAAACAGG
rnacentral:rRNA from 1 species